UAUAAAUCUGUGCGUGACUUCCGCUCUCUCUCUCUCACUGCUGCUGCCGAGAUGUCCUGAGGUUCACUGUGAGAUGGUGUCCUGUCUUGGACAAAUGUGGCACUAGCAGCCAUACGAUGGCGCUGCUGACCUGCUUUGCCCUUUGAGGCACAAGGCAGAGCCCCAGAGCUGCUGGACAGUCAUGCUGCAGACUGACUGAGGAGCAUGGUGAGCAGCAGGCCUCUAGGGGGCAGCAAAGUGUUCUCAUUGACAACCUGCUGGGCUGCUCUGGGCGAGUGGGUAAGUAUCGUCUGCAAGGCUGCCGACAGUCAUCAGUACACAAUGAUUCAGUCAUGUCUGCUCAACUGGAUUAAAGCUGUAGAUAGACUCUGUUGUGUUAAUUGUCAGAACCCACAUUAUCUACAUUUAUAGGUAAUAAGGCCAAUAUGAGGAUACUGAAAUAUAAAACCUGUCGUAUUUGUUCAACUGCAUCAUAAAUUGUGUACGGAUGUUGGAAUAAAAUUUGAUAUUGCUCCACCUCAA